rnacentral:rRNA from 1 species
GCUCAUGGUUUGCAUAUUCGGCCGUCUGACUAUGGUUGUCUUUCAGCAUAUUCUGAUGCAGACUGGGCUGGCAAUCCGGAUGACAGGCGAUCCACGGGGGGUUAUGCUGUCUUCUUUGGCUCUAACCUGAUUGCCUGGAGUGCUCGGAAACAGGCUACUGUCUCGCGUAGCAGUACUGAGGCUGAGUAUAAGGCUGUGGCCAAUGCCACAUCAGAGAUCAUCUGGGUACAAUCCUUGCUUCAGGAGUUAAGUAUACCCCAAUCACAGCCUCCUGUUCUUUGGUGUGAUAACAUCGGUGCU